UACGGAGGGUGCAAGCGUUAAUCGGAAUUACUGGGCGUAAAGCGUGCGCAGGCGGUUUGUUAAGUCUGCUGUGAAAUCCCCGAGCUCAACAUGGGAAUUGCAGUGGAUACUGGCAAGCUGGAGUACGGUAGAGGAAGGUGGAAUUCCCGGUGUAGCAGUGAAAUGCGUAGAGAUCGGGAGGAACACCAGUGGCGAAGGCGGCCUUCUGGACCAGUACUGACGCUCAUGCACGAAAGCGUGGGGAGCAAACAGG
rnacentral:rRNA from 1 species